rnacentral:rRNA from 1 species
GACGAACGCUGGCGGCGUGCCUAACACAUGCAAGUCGAACGAUGAACCCGGAGCUUGCUCCGGUGGAUUAGUGGCGAACGGGUGAGUAACACGUGAGUAACCUGCCCUUGACUCUGGGAUAACUGCGGGAAACUGUAGCUAAUACCGGAUACGACCCUCGGCGGCAUCGCCAGGGGGUGGAAAGAAUUUCGGUCAAGGAUGGACUCGCGGCCUAUCAGCUAGUUGGUGAGGUAACGGCUCACCAAGGCGACGACGGGUAGCCGGCCUGAGAGGGUGACCGGCCACACUGGGACUGAGACACGGCCCAGACUCCUACGGGAGGCAGCAGUGGGGAAUAUUGCACAAUGGGCGCAAGACUGAUGCAGCAACGCCGCGUGAGGGAUGACGGCCUUCGGGUUGUAAACCUCUUUUAGUAGGGAAGAAGCGAAAGUGACGGUACCUGCAGAAAAAGCACCGGCUAACUACGUGCCAGCCGCCGCGGUAA